rnacentral:rRNA from 1 species
UGCAGUCGAACGAUGAAGCCUCCUGCUUGCAGGGGGUGGAUUAGUGGCGAACGGGUGAGUAUCACGUGAGUAACCUGCCCUUGACUCUGGGAUAAGCCUGGGAAACUGGGUCUAAUACCGGAUAUGACCAGUCACCGCAUGGUGUGCUGGUGGAAAGCUUUAGCGGUUUUGGAUGGACUCGCGGCCUAUCAGCUUGACGGUGGGGUAAUGGCCUACCGUGGCGAUGACGGGUAGCCGGCCUGAGAGGGUGACCGGCCACACUGGGACUGAGACACGGCCCAGACUCCUACGGGAGGCAGCAGUGGGGAAUAUUGCACAAUGGGCGAAAGCCUGAUGCAGCGACGCCGCGUGUGGGAUGACGGCCUUCGGGUUGUAAACCACUUUCAGCAGGGAAGAAGCUUUUUGUGACGGUACCUGCAGAAGAAGCGCCGGCUAACUACGUGCCAGCAGCCGCGGUAAUACGUAGGGCGCGAGCGUUAUCCGGAAUUAUUGGGCGUAAAGAGCUCGUAGGCGGUUUGUCGCGUCUGCUGUGAAAGCCCGGGGCUUAACCCCGGGUGUGCAGUGGGUACGGGCAGACUAGAGUGCAGUAGGGGAGACUGGAAUUCCUGGUGUAGCGGUGAAAUGCGCAGAUAUCAGGAGGAACACCGAUGGCGAAGGCAGGUCUCUGGGCUGUUACUGACGCUGAGGAGCGAAAGCAUGGGGAGCGAACAGGAUUAGAUACCCUGGUAGUCCAUGCCGUAAACGUUGGGCACUAGGUGUGGGGGACAUUCCACGUUUUCCGCGCCGUAGCUAACGCAUUAAGUGCCCCGCCUGGGGAGUACGGCCGCAAGGCUAAAACU